GAUGAACGCUAGCGGCAGGCUUAAUACAUGCAAGUCGAGGGGCAGCGCAGUGUAGCAAUACAUGGGCGGCGACCGGCAAACGGGUGCGGAACACGUACACAACCUUCCUUUAAGCGGAGGAUAGCCCAGAGAAAUUUGGAUUAAUACCCCAUAGUAUAUUGGUCAGGCAUCUGAGUGGUAUUAAAGAUUUAUCACUUAAAGAUGGGUGUGCGGCUGAUUAGGUAGUUGGCGGGGUAACGGCCCACCAAGCCUUCGAUCAGUAACUGGUGUGAGAGCACGACCAGUCACACGGGCACUGAGACACGGGCCCGACUCCUACGGGAGGCAGCAGUAAGGAAUAUUGGUCAAUGGACGAAAGUCUGAACCAGCCAUGCCGCGUGGAGGAUGAAGGUCCUCUGGAUUGUAAACUUCUUUUAUCUGGGACGAAAAAAGGCUUUUCUAAGUCGUCUGACGGUACCAGAUGAAUAAGCACCGGCUAACUCCGUGCCAGCAGCCGCAGUAA
rnacentral:rRNA from 1 species